rnacentral:sRNA from 1 species
UUUUGCCCCAGAUAGUAGUGGAAAGCUUUGAGGAUUAGAAGACUAUUUUUUUCUUGCUGGGGCAGAGCGACCGGAGGAAGCUCCUGACGUAGCUAGAAAAAAAAGGCUUGUAACCGAGAACUUGCAACGAAUAGCUGGAUUAGGC